rnacentral:lncRNA from 1 species
CUUGCCAACACCGUCAAAGAGCUUAUUGGAUUCUCUGAGAGAGGUCGAGGCGGUCGAGGUACAUUGGGCAAUGGGCUUGGGAGCAGUGGUCGGAAGGAGAUAGAGGCUUGGGAGCUACAGUCGAGGCUGGAGAGAGCAGCAGUCGGAUGGAGACGGGGGAUUGGGAGCAGCGGUCGCCGGUCGAAGGGAGACGAGGGCUUCGAAGCGACAGCUGAGGCUCGAAGGAGUGGCGAUCCAGAGAGAAUAGGCACGAUGAAGGCAGACCUGUGGAAAGGAGAGCAUCUACGGGAGAUUGGAGGGGGGAGUCCGACGCCGCUGAAGAAUGGGAGGAGAGCGACGGCGGAGACUGACGGCUGGUGGAAGAGCAGAGAAGAUCGGGAGUGAGGACGACAAUGGUCGCAGGGCACCUCAAUGGGAAAAAUCUAGACUUGGAGCUUCAAAAAGGAGAAAGAUAGAUUGAAGCCCUUGAUAUUUGGGCUCAUAAUCGGGCUAAACUUUCGGGCUCGAGGCUGGGCCGGAUUCGAGCCGGACCAAAAGUUGGUCCGAGCCCAGUCUGAAAAUAAAACAGAUCUUAUUUUUUGACUUAAGUCCGGCCUGAAUAGUUUCGGGCUGAAUCCGAAAUUCAGUUCGAAGCCGGCCCAACCCGAUGGAUCUCGGACCGGCCCGAGCCCAUUUUCACCCUAUCCAUAUCUAUAGAACU